rnacentral:rRNA from 1 species
UACGUAGGCAGCGAGCGUUGUUCGGAAUUACUGGGCGUAAAGAGUGUGUAGGUGGUGCUCUAAGUUCGGUGUGAAAUCUCCCGCUUAACUGGGAGGGUGCGCCGAAAACUGGAGUGCUCGAGCGUGGGAGAGGAAAGCGGAAUUCCUGGUGUAGCGGUGAAAUGCGUAGAUAUCUGGAGGAACACCGGUGGCGAAGGCGGCAUCCUGGACCGGUAUUGACGCUGAGGCGCGAAAGCUAGGGGAGCAAACGGG